UACGUAGGCAGCGAGCGUUGUUCGGAAUUACUGGGCAUAAAGAGUGUGUAGGCGGUGCUCUAAGUUCGGUGUGAAAUCUCCUGGCUCAACUGGGAGGGUGCGCCGGAAACUGGAGUGCUUGAGCGUGGGAGAGGAAAGCGGAAUUCCUGGUGUAGCGGUGAAAUGCGUAGAUAUCAGGAGGAACACCUGUGGUGUAGACGGCUUUCUGGACCAUAGCUGACGCUGAGACACGAAAGCGUGGGUAGCAAACAGG
rnacentral:rRNA from 1 species